AAUGGCUUCGGCUGGUAUCCCACAGCUCCCUAUCUGCAUCUCUGGAAGAUCUGUAACCUUCCCUCAUUGUGAAGAUUGAUAGUGGGUGCCUGUUAAGCUCUUUGCAGAAGAAAACAGCUGCUUAAAAAGCAAUUAUUACUGUUUUCAUUUACACGUCACCUGAUAUCUGCAAGGGACCAAUUUGCUGCUAGGAGCUGCAAGCACCACCUCAAGCCAAAGAACAAUAAUUAGGGAAUGCAAAAACCCUCCAAAGCAUGAGUUCACGUUCUUGCUGUGGCUGCAGUGUUUGUUCUGCAAGUGACUUGGAUAAUGGCUGUGCUGUCAAAUGCAGACUCUCAAGGUUGUCAUACCAGACCCAUCAUGCAGAGAGACUGGAAACUUCAACAGUUCAAGAGAAGUCUCAGUGUGAAAAUCUGAUUACUCCAACACACGCUUUGUGCAGUAAGUCUGAAGAGACUGAAAUGAUUGAAUGCAAGCAUCCUGUUCAGAGGAUCAGAUUAGGAGGUUAGCGAGAGGAAGAUCCUGCAGAGGCCGACUGAAAGAAGGACCUCCUGUGGCCUGAAAGAAUCUCUGCUUGGAGAAUGGAAGGAAUCUGUUGGGGUGUUUGCUUCAGGCUGCUGGAACCAACAGACAACUGUGGAGCAAAGGGACUGCAAUGGAAACACACUCACUGUAAGCUGUGCUGAGAACAUUUUGAAACCAAUUUGCCUUCAGAUGUCCCACAAACAGAAUAAGAAACAUCUGAUAAAUUAUUGUGAAUUAUUUGCAUAGGCUGAUAGGAACUCAUUAAACACCCAAAGAUUGAUUUACAAGAAUGAAAUGGAGAAAAUCUUUACAGUGGUAUUUCUCUUCUUCUCAACUUCCAGUAAUUGUCUCUCCAGUGAAUGAAUUUGCUUCCUUCUUCUGCUGUUAUUCUCUACUUCAUGGACUACUUUAUAGAAUGUUUUACAGCAGAGAUUUCCUGUGAACCAAAGAGCCUGGAUUUCAUAGCUGUAUAUUCAAGUGCGUCAGAAAACACUAGAAGGCAUCAUGCUUCCUACUCUUACUUGUGGCUGAAUUGCUACAAAUUUUUAAAUUGCCAUACUUAAAAGUAUUAAAUACAGAUACAUAAAUCUCCCUUUUUUUUUUUUUUUUUAAACACAUCUCAGCCUCGACAGGCCAAGAACCCAGCUUUUACAUUAAGUAAUAUGAAAAACCAUUCUGAGUGCCUCUGUUUCAGAAUAUCCAAGCUGCGCCAAUUUAAAGGGACAUAGCCAGGGGCAACCUAAAUCAUUAUGCCAUACUCAAGUUUGAAAAUACUGGAUUUUACAUUUGUGUUUGUAGAAAAGAGGCUGAAUCUUUAUCCAAGAUGUUUCAAUCGAUUUUUUGGUGUAACUUGUUCUUGAAACCCUAGUAAGAAUGUUUCCACAGGCAGCCUAGGCAGCAUAUUUUUACUAUGUACCUAUUCUUGGAAUUAAGAUGUGGAAAUUAAAUUAUAUUUGCUGCAAAUUAAGCUGAUUUUGUCUUACU
rnacentral:lncRNA from 1 species